rnacentral:lncRNA from 1 species
UAGUGGCAUUGCCAAAGUAAUUGACAAAGAUUACUUUGUCUUACAUACUUUCUCUAAAACUAAGUAAUUACAUGAACUUCAACUAAGGAGUUGUUUGAUAAGGAUGUGGUAGAUUCUUAGUAGAUUCUUUGGAUUAUAACAUGAGGAUAAGUAUUUGAAAAACAUCAUCCUUAAGACCAAGUUGACUUGGUGGUUGAGAUUACCAUAAGUUUCCAUAGACAAUUUGGAUUAGUAGUAGCUUGAUUUGCAUGUAUUUAUUGGUAAUAAUUUGUAU